rnacentral:lncRNA from 1 species
CUCUACUGAUAUUUAUGCCUUACAGCAUCCUCUGUAGAGUAUCGACUCACCUAUACUUUUUCUCUUCUUCUAGGAAAUGAACUCCAUCUAUCAUGUCCUAUGGGUCACUUGACGCCUUUACAAUGUCCCCCGUUGAAAGGCCCAAUCCUGGAAUCUGAGGUUCUUUCACCAGACAAGGAACUAAGCUGAGCGUGGACUUGGGUGAGAAGAUCAAGUGACAUUGAUGAGAAAGGAACGUCCUUUCCCUGCUUUUUCCCUGGAAGAAAAGCACUUUCUCCUACCUUGG